CGUAGGUAACCUGCCUCUUAGCGGGGGAUAACUAUUGGAAACGGUAGCUAAUACCGCAUAAAAGUCGAUAUCGCAUGAUAUUGAUUUGAAAGGUGCAAUUGCAUCACUAAGAGAUGGACCUGCGUUGUAUUAGCUAGUUGGUGAGGUAACGGCUCACCAAGGCGACGAUACAUAGCCGACCUGAGAGGGUGAUCGGCCACACUGGGACUGAGACACGGCCCAG
rnacentral:rRNA from 1 species